rnacentral:misc_RNA from 1 species
ACUGUUUUGGAGAUGUUAACCCGUCAGAUUCCAUAUUCUCAUUUGGAAUGUAUGCAGGCAUUAUUUAGGAUUGGCAGGGGUGAGCCACCACGUGUUCCUGAUUCUCUUUCACAAGAUGCACAAGAUUUUAUUUUGCAAUGCCUACGAGUCAAUCCCAAUGAUCGUCCUACUGCUGCUCAGCUCUUAGAUCAUUCAUUUGUAAGACGGUCACUUUCCACAUCAUCGUCAGGUUCUGCGUCACCUUACAUUGGCCGAAAGUUUUAGAAGCUUUUGCUCAGCAACAACUCUGACAGUUAGUUCUGUCCAUGGCAAAGCGUGCAGGACCUGUUUAUGAUGUUUGCAUAGACGUGGAGCAACUUGUUUUUGAACACAUUUGGGCAGCCAUUAAUUUUUUGUUGCAUAAACUCAAAGUCUGCGAGCUUGGUAUAAAUUAAUGAAGAUUCAAAUUUGAAAUGAUGUGCAGGAUCUGGCCUUGGAUCUUUACCUUCAUGACAUCAGAGUGGUAACUUGAUCCAUGCGUCCUGCACUGAGAAUUUCUGCAUUAUAGAUCUGACGGUUAAUAUGUACGUAGUUGUCUGCUGUGGAAAGAUAAUCUCCUGAUACCGCGUUGUUCAAAAUUGCUAGUCUUUGCCUUUGAUUAUUAUUUUUUGAAUGUGGGAAGAUUUGUGGGAGCAAGGUGUGAGAUCAAGUGUUGUAAGAAGUAGGGAACAGACGCCAUUGUGUAUAUAUCCCAUUAUUGUAGUAAAUGUCAGUAAGGUUUUAGUUAUGUACUACUAACAGCUUUUGUAAAAUGUAUUCUACAUGAAUAUAUUGAUUCUAAAUUAUUU